rnacentral:rRNA from 1 species
UACGGAGGAUCCAAGCGUUAUCCGGAUUUAUUGGGUUUAAAGGGUGCGUAGGCGGGCUGUCAAGUCAGCGGUGAAAGUUCGUGGCUCAACCACGAAAUUGCCGUUGAAACUGGUGGCCUUGAGUGUAGAUGAGGUGGGUGGAAUUCGUAGUGUAGCGGUGAAAUGCAUAGAUAUUACGAAGAACUCCGAUUGCGUAGGCAGCUCACUAGACUACAACUGACGCUGAGGCACGAAGGUGCGGGGAUCAAACAGG